UACAGAGGUGGCAAGCGUUGUUCGGAAUUACUGGGCGUAAGGGCGCGUAGGCGGCCUACUAAGUCAGACGUGAAAUCCCCCGGCUUAACCUGGGAACUGCGUCUGAUACUGGAAGGCUUGAGGAUGGGAGAGGAUGUAGAAUUCCAGGUGUAGCGGUGAAAUGCGUAGAUAUCUGGAGGAAUACCGGUGGCGAAGGCGGCAUCCUGGGACCAUUACUGACGCUGAGGCGCGAAAGCUAGGGGAGCAAACGGG
rnacentral:rRNA from 1 species